rnacentral:rRNA from 1 species
UACAGAGGUCCCAAGCGUUGUUCGGAUUCACUGGGCGUAAAGGGUGCGUAGGCGGUUGGGUAAGUCUGUCGUGAAAUCUCCGAGCCUAACUCGGAAACUGCGUCGGAUACUAUUCAACUCGAGGAAUUGGAGGGGAGACUGGAAUUCUCGGUGUAGCAGUGAAAUGCGUAGAUAUCGAGAGGAACACCAGUGGCGAAGGCGGCAUCCUGGACCGGUAUUGACGCUGAGGAGCGAAAGCCAGGGGAGCAAACGGGA